rnacentral:snRNA from 1 species
UCUGCAGCAGGCAGGAUACACUAAAAUUGAAAACCAAUACGAGAAGAUUUAGCAUGGGCCCCAUGCAAGGAUGACACGAAAAAAAUCAUAAGAGUUCCAUAUUAAA